AGAUGNAAAUAAUUUAUANUAUUUAAAAAAUUAACUAUUAAAAAUUUYAGCUGGGGCGACUGAGGAACAAAAAAAGCUUCCUUUAUANGUAUAAAANCCACACGAGUAUUGAUCCAGAAUAUUUUGAUUAAAGGAAUUAGUUACCGUAGGGAUAACAGCAUUAUCUUUUUUAAGAGUUCUUAUCGAAAAGAAGGUUUGUGACCUCGAUGUUGGACCAGAAUAUCCUAAAGAUGCAGCAGUCUUA
rnacentral:rRNA from 1 species